rnacentral:rRNA from 1 species
GUCGAACGGUGAACACGGAGCUUGCUCUGUGGGAUCAGUGGCGAACGGGUGAGUAACACGUGAGCAACCUGCCCCUGACUCUGGGAUAAGCGCUGGAAACGGCGUCUAAUACUGGAUAUGUGACGUGACCGCAUGGUCUGCGUCUGGAAAGAAUUUCGGUUGGGGAUGGGCUCGCGGCCUAUCAGCUUGUUGGUGAGGUAAUGGCUCACCAAGGCGUCGACGGGUAGCCGGCCUGAGAGGGUGACCGGCCACACUGGGACUGAGACACGGCCCAGACUCCUACGGGAGGCAGCAGUGGGGAAUAUUGCACAAUGGGCGCAAGCCUGAUGCAGCAACGCCGCGUGAGGGACGACGGCCUUCGGGUUGUAAACCUCUUUUAGCAGGGAAGAAGCGAAAGUGACGGUACCUGCAGAAAAAG